UACGUAGGGGGCGAGCGUUGUCCGGAUUUAUUGGGCGUAAAGGGCGUGUAGGCGGCCUGGUAAGUCGGUGGUGAAAGCCCAGGGCUCAACCCUGGUCGUGCCGCCGAUACUGUUGGGCUUGAGUGCUCUAGAGGGCAGUGGAAUUCCCGGUGUAGCAGUGAAAUGCGUAGAGAUCGGGAGGAACACCAGUGGCGAAGGCGACUGCCUGGGGAGUAACUGACGCUGAGGCGCGAAAGCUAGGGGAGCGAAC
rnacentral:rRNA from 1 species